AUAUGAUGCCAAACAGAGUGUUAUCACCAGACUUGAAAAACCUCCAUUCUCUCCCAUCCUUCUCCCUAAACUAGGGUUUCGCAUAACCAUUAUUCUCAAUUUGAUUUCGAAUCUCGAAGCCCUCCAUUGUCAACAUGGACGCGCAGAGAGCUUUGUUAGACGAACUCAUGGGUGCAGCUCGUAAUCUCACUGAAGAAGAGAGAAGGGGUUACAAGGAAAUUACAUGGGACGAUAAGGAGGUUUGUGGAUCCUAUAUGAUUCGAUUUUGCCCUCAUGAUCUGUUCGUGAACACACGGAGUGAUCUAGGAGCAUGCCCAAAAAUUCAUGAUGACAAGUUGAAAGAAAGUUUUGAGAAGUCCCCAAGACACAACUCUUACGUGCCCAGGUUUGAAGCAGAACUUUCUCAUUUUUGUGAGAAGUUGAUUAUGGACUUAGACAGAAGAGUUAGGCGUGGGCGAGAACGCCUCGCUCAAGAGGUGGAAGUUUCCCCCCCUGCUCCAAUCUCUGCGGAAAUAUCUGAGCAGCUGUCUGUGCUGGAGGAGAAAAUAAAGAACCUGCUGGAGCAAGUGGAGUCCCUUGGUGAAGCUGGGAAAGUUGAUGAAGCUGAAGCACUCAUGAGGAAGGUGGAGAUGCUUAAUGCUGAAAAGACAACCUUGACUCAACAGCACCAGAAUGACAAAGUAUCAAUGCUUGCACAGGAGAAAAAGAUGGCUCUGUGUGAGAUAUGUGGUUCUUUUCUAAUAGCAAAUGAUGCUGCAGAGAGGACUCAAUCUCACAUAACUGGCAAGCAGCAUAUUGGUUAUGGCAUGGUUAGGGAUUUCCUCGCCGAGUACAAGGCGGCAAAGGAGAAGGCAAAGGAAGAGGAAAGAUUAGCAAGGGAGAAAGAAGCAGAGGAACGAAGGAAGCAAAGGGAGAAGGAAUAUGAGAGUAAACGUAGAAGAAGUGGUUCAGCAGAUCGGGAGAGAGAUCGUAAUCGCGAUCAAGACAGAGAGCGGGACAGAUACCGGGAACGAGACCGCAGCCAUGAUAGGUCUUAUGAGAGGAAUGGUAGAGGCAGCAGAGAUGGAGGGAGACGCUUGGAUUCAAAGUACGGCAAUUUCAGGAAUGGUAGAGAUAGAGGCAGGGACAGAUACAGGGAUCAGGAUGUAUAUGCGGAGCGUGAUAGAAGCAGGUAGCCUUCCCCUGUAAGGCAUGGUCACACGAGAUCUCUCAGAAGUCUAGUUUGCCCAUAUUAGUGGAUUGCUUAGAUAGAUAGAUGGAACUCAUGAGCUUUAUUGAGACUUUACCAUCUCCCUAUCAUCAAUAUAAUUAGAAGAGAAAGGAUUGAGGUAGGUAUAACUUAUCAUUGUCAUUCUUCUGAUGUUAAAUAUUAUUUUCAGAAAUUUUGCCCCCCUUUCUGGGUCAUUGUGGGCUACCUUAUUCAAAUAGUCAAAAGGACAGAUUUGAUGAGUAUGAUGAUCUUGCUGCUCAAGGGGAACAUGAUUUUUUCUUAACCAUAAGGUAACCGUAAAGUCCCAAUUUUGUCAUGGUUGCACUCAUGGAUUAAUAUUUAUAAUUAUUGUGGAUUUAUUAUUAUUAUUUUUUGAUCUUUCGGUAAACUUUAAGCAAAUUCUUGCUUGCAGUUGCUGAGUCUUUGGGAUCUUUGUAAGCUUCAUGAAUAUGGUUCCUAGUAGGUUAUCUUCUUCGCCCCCCCUUUUUUUUUUUUUAAUAACGACGACAAGUUGGGAAUCGUUUCCAUGCUCUUACUUUCCAGCCACCCCAACCCUUUUUGGUGUGGUAUAGUUAAACGAGUAUAAUUUUAUAUGCACAAUGUACAUGAAUGAGCGAGCUGUGAACAACAGAAAAAGGAGGGGGAUAGAAGAUUUACUAAUUUGCAACCAUUACAAUCAUAUAUAUCCUUUAAUGAAAAAGGUACUUGUUAUACAUAAUCUGGGGUUGUUUUACAAACUUUAGAAAUGAGAAUUAGGCAAUGGAUCCAUCUUUCUUUAGUACAGAUAACUGUUUAGUGUGUUCCGUGUUUUUAUGUGGCUUCUCUCCUAUAUUAGAUACAAGUUUUCUUCAGCAGAAGUCUUGCUUCCACCUGCCUGAGAAAAUCUACCAGUGGACCGUGAUCUUCGUCUCUCGGGAAUAAAAAUAGAAUGCAAUCCCUGAGGUAACUAAAACUUAAAUACGCAGGAUAGCAAAUUUCUGUGUCUAGUUUGCAGGGACACUAUGGUGAACCUUCUCGUUGAGUUUGAUUUGCUGAUGAGUAUGAAGAUCUUUUUUCGUGUUAUUUGGAAGGGAGUCUCGUGCAGGGAAUACAUUCCAUAGUAUUUUUCGUGCUUCCGUGGUUCAAGUUGGACGGGCAGUCCUUUUUUGUAUGGUAACUGAAAUUCUAUUCGGAUCUCUACUACUUUUAGGUACUUGGGUAUGUUACAUUGUAAUUUAUUUCAGAGAUAUAUAAUAAGAACCUCCAAAAAGUUUUGUGA